CAAGAUGAGUGCUCUCAUGGCAAAAGCCAGUAAGGUCACAGGAAGAUUACCUGUUUGCUCGGCGCUAGGUGGAAGCUCAGUAAUGAGUGCAGCCGAGGCGUGCGAACCGACCGAGGGCUUGACCUC
rnacentral:rRNA from 1 species